rnacentral:rRNA from 1 species
ACGCACGCUGGCGGCGUGCUUAACCCAUGCAAGUCGCACGGAAAGGCCCUGCUUUUGUGGGGUGCUCGAGUGGCGAACGGGUGAGUAACACGUGAGUAACCUGCCCUUGACUUUGGGAUAACUUCAGGAAACUGGGGCUAAUACCGGAUAGGAGCUCCUGCUGCAUGGUGGGGGUUGGAAAGUUUCGGCGGUUGGGGAUGGACUCGCGGCUUAUCAGCUUGUUGGUGGGGUAGUGGCUUACCAAGGCUUUGACGGGUAGCCGGCCUGAGAGGGUGACCGGCCACAUUGGGACUGAGAUACGGCCCAGACUCCUACGGGAGGCAGCAGUGGGGAAUAUUGCACAAUGGGCGGAAGCCUGAUGCAGCAACGCCGCGUGCGGGAUGACGGCCUUCGGGUGGUAAACCGCUUUCGCCUGUGACGAAGCGUGAGUGACGGUAAUGGGGAAAGAAGCACCGGCUAACUACGU